rnacentral:rRNA from 1 species
GUCGAGGGGUAACGAUGGCUUCGGCCAGGCGACGACCGGCGGACGGGUGAGUAUCGCGUUUGUAACCUGCCUCUAACCGGAGAAUAGCCCGAAGAAAUUCGGAUUAAUGCUCCAUAUUACUAUAAGAUGGCAUCAUUUUAUAGUGAAAGCCCCGGCGGUUAGAGAUGGGCAUGCGUGACAUUAGUUUGUUGGUGAGGUAACGGCUCACCAAGACCACGAUGUCUAGGGGGUCUGAGAGGAUGGUCCCCCACACUGGUACUGAGACACGGACCAGACUCCUACGGGAGGCAGCAGUGAGGAAUAUUGGUCAAUGGGCGAAAGCCUGAACCAGCCAUGCCGCGUGAAGGAUGACAGCGCUACGCGUUGUAAACUUCUUUUGUACGGGAAGAAACACUUCUACUUGUAGAAGCUUGACGGUACCGUACGAAUAAGCAUCGGCUAACUCCGUGCCAGCAGCCGCGGUAAUACGGAGGAUGCAAGCGUUAUCCGGAUUUAUUGGGUUUAAAGGGUACGUAGGCGGGAAAUUAAGUCAGUGGUGAAAUCCUGCAGCUCAACUGUAGAACUGUCAUUGAUACUGGUUUCCUUGAAUGUAGUUGAGGUAGGCGGAAUGUGUAAUGUAGCGGUGAAAUGCUUAGAUAUUACACAGAACACCGAUUGCGAAGGCAGCUUACUAAACUACGAUUGACGCUGAGGUACGAAAGCGUGGGGAGCGAACAGGAUUAGAUACCCUGGUAGUCCACGCUGUAAACGAUGAUCACUCGUUGUUGGCGAUAUACUGUCAGCGACUGAGCGAAAGCAUUAAGUGAUCCACCUGGGGAGUACGACCGCAAGGUUGAAACUCAAAGGAGUUGACGGGGGCCCGCACAAGCGGAGGAACAUGUGGUUUAAUUCGAUGAUACGCGAGGAACCUUACCUGGGCUUAAAUGCAGAACGACGGACCGGGAAACUGGUCUUUCUUCGGACGGACUGCAAGGUGCUGCAUGGCUGUCGUCAGCUCGUGCCGUGAGGUGUCGGGUUAAGUCCCAUAACGAGCGCAACCCUCAUCAUUAGUUGCCGGCGGGUAAUGCCGGGGACUCUAAUGAAACUGCCGGUGUAAACCGAGAGGAAGGUGGGGAUGACGUCAAGUCAGCACGGCCCUUAUGUCCAGGGCUACACACGUGUUACAAUGGUCGGUA